rnacentral:misc_RNA from 1 species
CCAGGAAGCUAACUACAAACAGAAAGCCGAUCAUCCAAGAUAAUGAUGGAUUUUUGUGAUAAUCGCUGUCUUCUGCUGAUUGUUUGGCAAUAGNNNNAUUCCAAAGAGGUAACUCCCAAAGCCACCGCUAAAGGCGAUGCCAGAGGAGGCGACAACACAGGUCUGGAUGACGGUAUUCUCUUGCCUGGUGAAGGGUUGGCUCAAAGGACCAAAUUUUCCGAGAAAAGUAGUCCAAAUCUUGAGGAAAAAGAAGCCCAAANNNNNNNAGCCCAAAAGACCAGCAGAUACAUUGAGUGAAGGUAUGAUCCCAGUUGUGAGAUUAAGCUUCAUUACUAUGAAGCUAAAUAAUAUGCUCAACACAAAGCUCACAACGAAG